rnacentral:rRNA from 1 species
CGCGGCCUAUCAGCUUGUUGGUGGGGUGAUGGCUCACCAAGGCGACGACGGGUAGCCGGCCUGAGAGGGCGACCGGCCACACUGGGACUGAGACACGGCCCAGACUCCUACGGGAGGCAGCAGUGGGGAAUAUUGCACAAUGGGCGCAAGCCUGAUGCAGCGACGCCGCGUGAGGGAUGAAGGCCUUCGGGUUGUAAACCUCUUUCAGCAGGGAAGAAGCGAGAGUGACGGUACCUGCAGAAGAAGCGCCGGCUAACUACGUGCCAGCAGCCGCGGUAAUACGUAGGGCGCAAGCGUUGUCCGGAAUUAUUGGGCGUAAAGAGCUCGUAGGCGGUUUGUCGCGUCUGCUGUGAAAACCUAAGGCUCAACCUUGGGCUUGCAGUGGGUACGGGCAGACUAGAGUGCGGUAGGGGUGACUGGAAUUCCUGGUGUAGCGGUGGAAUGCGCAGAUAUCAGGAGGAACACCGAUGGCGAAGGCAGGUCACUGGGCCGCAACUGACGCUGAGGAGCGAAAGCAUGGGGAGCGAACAGGAUUAGAUACCCUGGUAGUCCAUGCCGUAAACGUUGGGCACUAGGUGUGGGGCUCAUUCCACGAGUUCCGUGCCGCAGCAAACGCAUUAAGUGCCCCGCCUGGGGAGUACGG